rnacentral:rRNA from 1 species
GUAAAGAAGCACCGGCCAACUACGUGCCAGCAGCCGCGGUAAUACGUAGGGUGCGAGCGUUGUCCGGAAUUAUUGGGCGUAAAGGGCUCGUAGGCGGUUUGUCGCGUCGGGAGUGAAAACCAGGUGCUUAACACCUGGCUUGCUUUCGAUACGGGCAGACUAGAGGUAUUCAGGGGAGAACGGAAUUCCUGGUGUAGCGGUGAAAUGCGCAGAUAUCAGGAGGAACACCGGUGGCGAAGGCGGUUCUCUGGGAAUGACCUGACGCUGAGGAGCGAAAGUGUGGGGAGCGAACAGGAUUAGAUACCCUGGUAGUCCACACCGUAAACGUUGGGCGCUAGGUGUGGGGUCCAUUCCACGGAUUCCGUGCCGCAGCUAACGCAUUAAGCGCCCCGC